GACGAACGCUGGCGGCGUGCUUAACACAUGCAAGUCGAACGGUGAAGCGCCUUCCUUUUUGGUGGGUGUGGAUGAGUGGCGAACGGGUGAGUAACACGUGAGUAACCUGCCCCCUUCUUCUGGAUAACCGCAUGAAAGUGUGGCUAAUACGGGAUAUUCUGGGUCUGUCGCAUGAUGGGUCUGGGAAAGAUAUUGUUUCGGUGGGGGAUGGGCUCGCGGCCUAUCAGCUUGUUGGUGGGGUGAUGGCCUACCAAGGCGGUGACGGGUAGCCGGCCUGAGAGGGUGGACGGUCACACUGGGACUGAGACACGGCCCAGACUCCUACGGGAGGCAGCAGUGGGGAAUAUUGCACAAUGGGCGCAAGCCUGAUGCAGCGACGCCGCGCGAGGGAUGGAGGCCUGCGGGUUGUGAACCUCUUUCGCCAGUGAAGCAGGCCUGCCUCGUUUGUGGGUGGGUUGACGGUAGCUGGAUAAGAAGCGCCGGCUAACUACGUG
rnacentral:rRNA from 1 species